rnacentral:rRNA from 1 species
CCUACGGGUGGCAGCAGUGAGGAAUAUUGGUCAAUGGGCUUACGCCUGAACCAGCCAAGUCGCGUGAGGGAAGACUGCCCUAUGGGUUGUAAACCUCUUUUGUCAGGGAGCAAUUGGCGCUACGUGUAGCGUUAUCGAGAGUACCUGAAGAAAAAGCAUGGGCUAACACGGUCCCAGCAGCCGGGGUAAUAAGGGGGAUGCGAGCGUUAUCCGGAUUUAUUGGGUUAAAAGGGUGCGUAAGGGGAAUGCCAAGUAAGUGGUAAAAUCGCGGGGCUAAACCUCACUCCGCCGUUGAUACUGGCGGUCGUGAGUACACGAGAGGUAUGCGGAAUGCGUGGUGUAGCGGUGAAAUGCAUAGAUAUCACGAAGAACUCCGAUUGCGAAGGCAGCAUACCGGCGCCCAACUGACACUGAAGCACGAAAGCGUGGGUAUCGAACAGGAUUAGAUACCCUUGUAGUC